rnacentral:rRNA from 1 species
UGCAAGUCGAACGCGAAAGGGAGCAAUCCCAAGUAGAGUGGCGCAAGGGCGAGUAAUGCGUUUCUAACGUACCCCGGACUCGAGGAUAGCCAGUCGAAAGAUUGGGUAAUACUCGAUGAUGUCACCUGGCCGCAUGGCUGGGUGACCAAAGAGACUGUCGCAAGACAAGGUGGUCUGGGAGCGGGGAAUGUCCUAUCAGCUAGUUGGUGAGGUAACGGCUCACCAAGGCUAAGGCGGGUAACCGGUGUGAGAGCACGGCCGGUCGCAUCGGGACUGAGACACUGCCCGGACUUCUACGGAAGGCUGCAGUGACGAAUAUUCCGCAAUGGGCGCAAGCCUGACGGAGCGAUGCCGCGUGCGGGACGAAGCCCCUCGGGGUGUAAACCGCUGUCAAAGGAUAGCAACUUAACGAGCAACCUUAAAGGAAGAGGCGACUAACUCUGUGCCAGCCGUCGCGGUAAUACAGAGGCCUCGAGCGUUAAUCGGAGUUACUGGGCUUAAAGGGUGCGUAGGUGGGUCCGCAAGUGUCUUGUGAAAGCCCACGGCUCAACCGUGGAAGAGCUUGAUAGACUGCGGGUCUUGAGGUCGGUAGGGGUCGCUGGAACUCUAGGUGGAGCGGUGAAAUGCGUAGAUAUCUAGAGGAACGCCCAAGGCGAAGGCAGGCGACUGGGCCGAAUCUGACACUGAGGCACGAAAGCAUGGGUAGCGAACGGGAUUAGAUACCCCGGUAGUCCAUGCCCUAAACGAUGUACACUAGAUCCCGGGAGGCUCUGACGCCAUCCGGGUCGAAGCGAAAGUAUUUAGUGUACC